rnacentral:rRNA from 1 species
GAACGCUAGCGGCAGGCCUAAUACAUGCAAGUCGAACGGUGUCUUCGGACAUAGUGGCGCACGGGUGCGUAACACGUAUGCAACCUACCUUACAUUGGGGGAUAGCCUUUCGAAAGGGAGAUUAAUACCGCAUAAGACAGUAGCUGGGCAUCCAGCAGCUGUUAAAGAUUUAUCGAUGUAAGCUGGGCAUGCGUCCAAUUAGCUAGUUGGUGAGGUAACGGCUCACCAAGGCUAUGAUUGGUAGGGGAACUGAGAGGUCAAUCCCCCACACUGGCACUGAGAUACGGGCCAGACUCCUACGGGAGGCAGCAGUAGGGAAUAUUGGGCAAUGGACGCAAGUCUGACCCAGCCAUGCCGCGUGCAGGAUGAAGGCGUUAUGCGUUGUAAACUGCUUUUAUACAGGAAGAAACGACUCUUGCGAGAGGCAUUGACGGUACUGUAUGAAUAAGCACCGGCUAACUCCGUG